rnacentral:rRNA from 1 species
CGCCCUUAGAGUUUGAUCAUGGCUCAGGAUGAACGCUGGCGGCGUGCCUAAUACAUGCAAGUCGAACGAAACUUCUUUAUCACCGAGUGCUUGCACUCACCGAUAAAGAGUUGAGUGGCGAACGGGUGAGUAACACGUGGGCAACCUGCCCAAAAGAGGGGGAUAACACUUGGAAACAGGUGCUAAUACCGCAUAACCAUAGUUACCGCAUGGUAACUAUGUAAAAGGUGGCUAUGCUACCGCUUUUGGAUGGGCCCGCGGCGCAUUAGCUAGUUGGUGGGGUAAAGGCUUACCAAGGCAAUGAUGCGUAGCCGAACUGAGAGGUUGAUCGGCCACAUUGGGACUGAGACACGGCCCAAACUCCUACGGGAGGCAGCGGUAGGGAAUCUUCCACAAUGGGCGAAAGCCUGAUGGAGCAACGCCGCGUGGGUGAAGAAGGUCUUCGGAUCGUAAAACCCUGUUGUUAGAGAAGAAAGUGCGUGAGAGUAACUGUUCACGUUUCGACGGUAUCUAACCAGAAAGCCACGGCUAACUACGUGCCAGCAGCCGCGGUAAUACGUAGGUGGCAAGCGUUAUCCGGAUUUAUUGGGCGUAAAGGGAACGCAGGCGGUCUUUUAAGUCUGAUGUGAAAGCCUUCGGCUUAACCGGAGUAGUGCAUUGGAAACUGGGAGACUUGAGUGCAGAAGAGGAGAGUGGAACUCCAUGUGUAGCGGUGAAAUGCGUAGAUAUAUGGAAGAACACCAGUGGCGAAAGCGGCUCUCUGGUCUGUAACUGACGCUGAGGUUCGAAAGCGUGGGUAGCAAACAGGAUUAGAUACCCU